rnacentral:rRNA from 1 species
GAUGAACGCUGGCUGUGUGCCUAAUACAUGCAUGUCGAGCGGAGUUCUUUGGAACUUAGCGGCGAAUGGGUGAGUAACACGUACUUAACGUGCCCUCUAGAUUGGGAUAACGAUGAGAAAUUAUCGCUAAUACCGGAUACUUAUUAGUUUGGCAUCAAACUAAUAUAAAAGGAGCGUUUGCUUCACUAGAGGAUCGGGGUGCGGAACAUUAGUUUGUUGGUAAGGUAAUGGCUUACCAAGACGAUGAUGUUUAGCGGGGKUGAGAGACUGAUCCGCCACACUGGGACUGAGAUACGGCCCAGACUCCUACGGGAGGCAGCAGUAGGGAAUUUUCCACAAUGGACGAAAGUCUGAUGGAGCGACACAGCGUGCAGGAAGACGGCCUUCGGGUUGUAAACUGCUGUUAUAAGGGAAGAAAAAGCAGUAGAGGAAAUGCUAUUGCCUUGACGGUACCUUGUCAGAAAGCAACGGCUAACUAUGUGCCAGCAGCCGCGGUAAUACAUAGGUUGCAAGCGUUAUCCGGAAUUAUUGGGCGUAAAGCGUCUGUAGGUUGUGUGUUAAGUCUGGCGUUAAAACUUGGGGCUCAACCCCAAAUUGCGUUGGAUACUGGCACGCUAGAAUUGUGUAGAGGUUAGCGGAAUUCCUAGUGAAGCGGUGAAAUGCGUAGAUAUUAGGAAGAACACCAACAUGGCGAAGGCAGUUAACUGGGCACAUAUUGACACUGAGAGACGAAAGCGUGGGGAGCAAACAGGAUUAGAUACCCUGGUAGUCCACGCUGUAAACGAUGAUGAUUAGCUGAUAGAAGACUAUCGGCGCAGCUAACGCAUUAAAUCAUCCGCCUGAGUAGUAUGCUCGCAAGAGUGAAACUUAAAGGAAUUGACGGGGACCCGCACAAGCGGUGGAGCAUGUGGUUUAAUUUGAAGAUACGCGUAGAACCUUACCCACUCUUGACAUCUUCCGCAAUGCUAUAGAGAUAUAGCGGAGGCUAACGGAAUGACAGAUGGUGCAUGGUUGUCGUCAGCUCGUGUCGUGAGAUGUUCGGUUAAGUCCUGCAACGAGCGCAACCCUUAUCCUUAGUUAAAUGUUCUAGGGAGACUGCCCGAGUAAUUGGGAGGAAGGUGGGGACGACGUCAAAUCAUCAUGCCUCUUACGAGUGGGGCAACACACGUGCUACAAUGGAUAGUACAAAGAGAAGCAAUACGGUGACGUGGAGCAAAUCUCAAAAAACUAUUCUCAGUUCGGAUUGUAGUCUGCAACUCGACUACAUGAAGUCGGAAUCGCUAGUAAUCGUAGAUCAGCUACGCUACGGUGAAUACGUUCUCGGGUCU